UUUCGGAUUUGUUGCAGAACAUAGCAAAACAUAAACUAUGAAAACUUACCAGCUGAUAUUUCAAGCAGUAUUCCACCAUUUCCGGAUAUUUCCUUCCGCAGUUUUAGCCAGAACUGAAAAGAGUUAGAAAAACGUUAGAAUUAGGCAAAAAUCUGCACAAUUAGCGCUUAGAAGGAUUUAUGUUGUGAAGAUUAGGACUUACCUUGAUAAUCCACCAGCCACGGAUAGUUUGUUUAUUUUCGACCGGUCGACCAAAAAUUCAUUCUCUUGUUAUGAAAAUUUUCUUAUUAGACUCUUGUUCAUGAAUACUUGAGUUCCCACUUGACAGUUCUUAUGAGAGACUGUCAUGACUGAUCGCUACGACAGCGAAAACACUGAACGAAAUCAUUAGCUGUUUCUGUCAUAUGCUGACAUGAAAUUAUGCGGAUUGUGAUUAUAAACGUUCCAAAAGUUCGAUUAUUAAUUUUGUUCAAUCAAAAUAAAGAUAGUAAGAUGGACUGGUGCAUGCAUCUCUCAAGACAAAAUGAAUGUAUUACCAUUCAUUUUGAAGAGGGACGAUGGGGUAAUGUAACCGUUCGUUACUUUUGUAAAUGUGACUCUGUCACAAAAUUGACUUAUCCCUGUCCUAUUAAGUGAACCCUACAACAGUUAUCCAAACAGAUCAAAACCUUGACCGACUGCCAUCCCUUCCCAAGAUCUCACAUCGUCUUCUCAGGGGAAAUCCAUAGGCGUCGUGUGUUUUCGGAGCCCAGGCGGGGAAGUGUGGUCACCCAGAAAACAACACACUAGUAUUGUUUGUGUUACCGUAAAUGUAUGUGUGUUGGUUGGAUGUAGAAAAUUCCACUUAGCGCUUUAGCGGCUAUCCGCUUCCUGUCCUUUCUGUUCGUGAUCGCCUGAGGGAGCAGUUGUGCGCGACUUGAGUUUUUCAAACAAAAAACAGUGCGAAAAACAAACACAACACGUUAAAAGUAAAGCUAAAUUAUGUUAAAUUUGCUUUGUUAGUACGAAAGUGACAAAGGCAUAAACAACUGUUAAAACGACAUUAAAACGAAGCACAUUGUAAAACUGCAGAUAAAAGGUCCACAAGGGCCUUUUUCUGUUUGGCUGGUUCUUACGAACCACACCAUAAUUAUCCCCAGGCAACCAACAGUUCCGGACAGAAAACACCGUUCGAGACCGGAGUCGAGCAAGCACUUGGUAUCGACUCGAACAUAACCUCGUCUUGGACCGGUCAGCAUCAAAACAACAUCUUUUAGCCCGACGCUGGUGUCGAAAGGUCAACAAACAACAAUCAUACCAGCAUGCUUUAUUUCCGGCCGUUCCCAACUAUGCUAGAACCGGCAAGUAUUGGGGCGGCAUUUUGCAUGUCAGUCGUCUCCAGCCAGGUGCCUCCGUUACUGGUUGAGACGGUGAAUAAUAAGCCGACAGAGGAAUCGCAGCCGCGCGGCGAUUAACCAACGCCGAGGAAGAACCAAAGCCGCAAGUAUUAAUAGUGUGUGACGUCAUGCCAGGGCCCAUCCGUAAAAUAAACUUAAGCAUUAUUGUAAUCGCAUCCAAAAAUUGUGUAACUGUAGAAAUCCGUAAUCGCUUUACACUUCCGGGAAUCGUUAAAGUUUCGAACCAAAAUGGUUAUCAAAUCUCUCUCUAGGGUGGUCCGCUCAGUGAUUCACAGUUUGCGUUGUUUAUCAUAUUUUGAAUUUCCGACUCUGGUUGAUAGCAUGAGAGGUACCCACCCGUUUCGGCACCUCUGAAAAACAUGUUAGCUGUAAUUGGAAUCCCUUGCGUGAGGUUACUCCAGAAGACGGUGUAACGUAGUGAAUUUCCCUGUAACGACCCUGAGUCCCACCAUAAUCUCUCCUUCCCAUGUUCCCAC